UAACUAAGACGUUUAGCAAUGCAACAAGAGUAUUGCGUGGAAGUGCAUUUAUGAGCCAGACAAAAACAUGCAACGAAGAUUUGUGCUCACUCUAUACUAUGGUUAUGGCUUGCGAUGUGCGGGUUUUGGUAUCAUUCCUACCCAGUGCUCUGUGGAUGCAUUCAGAAAGUUUCUGCUAAAGAAUGUUAAUUGGGACGAAAUAGGACAAGAUGAAAAAAUAUUUGCGUCACCAGGAAACGGACUAAGAAAUGAAAAUCAAACAAAUCAAAUCACCAGGAAUGAACAUAAAACUAGUGAAUAUUGAAAGAUAUAACGAUAAGCCUUAGAGAGAACAUCACUUCAAGCUAAAAUAGUUUUUAAACUGCUUCUUUAAUUUGGUUUUUAACCACGUAAUCUUUCCCACUGAUUAUGUUCAGCAGUUUGAAAACGUGUGGACCUUUUCCGUAUUCUGUUAUGAAUCUUUAAACUAUUUCCUUGUAUCAAUGGCAGUUUUCUAGAUUUCGAUUCAUAUUUGUAUUGAGAUAUUUCUUUAUUCUAUUAUAUAAAUAUUAUAUAUACUAGCUCACAUAUUGCUACAUGAUAUAUAUCCAUAAAACGAUGAGAUUGCAAGCUUAAAAAAUUGAGGCUGUGCUUUGUUUUCAACACAUAUAUUUAACCUGGAAUUUUGUUUGUGCUAUUUAAUCAUCAUUUUUACAUGUUCGAUUUGAUUUUUGGAAAAUAUGAAGAAAUAAAAAACUA